CGGACUACCAACCGAUUACAAUGUAACAGUAAAUGACACGGAGAUGACUAUUAAAAAUAAUGGCGAGACAGUACGGACGUACACGCUGCUGUUCUCAGACGGUUAUGCGUGCAACAUUUUCAAAAACCGUGAAGACGACAAAUGCGAAGUGUGGGCGCCGCCAGAGCGGGCAAGCGUUGUGAAUGGGCCCGACUGUACAGGUCGAUUUAAAGAAAA